GAUAAUGAAACGAGCAGAUUUGGUGAAAAUCCGCCGUUUCAAAUAGUAGCGUUAGCCAUCUCACGCCUGUGAGAUAGGCAACAGUAAGAAAUGAAAAGUGCUCGAAUUCAAUGUUUAUAUGUGUGUGUUUAGAGAUUGAUAUGAUAGUUGGUGACGAAAGUUGAUCAACAGGAAACCAUAAGAAAAUGUUAUUUUAAACGCAAGAAAAUUUUUACAUACAAAAUUGAAAUCAAGAAAGAAACCGGAAACCCUCGAAUUAAGUAGAAAAUUAUAUAUGAUAACUUUCUUGGUCAACCGGGAGCGAUUAUUCGUUCUUUCCCUUUUGGACCGCCAAGGAGUCAAGUUAUCAGAAGUUGAUAUUUAGUUCAGUGAGAAAGUGUUCCUUAAUCAAUAGCUAAUACAAAUAAACCUAUAUUUUUUAUAACAAUUAAAAUCGUGAGUCGUGCAUUUAAAAUUGUGCUUAAAAAAGUGCAGAAUUUUAUAGAAAGUGAGUCGGAGGCAGAAAUUACGGUGUUACCGAAGUGAGAAAGAUCAGGUAAUUUUGAGGAUUGUAAGGGAAUAUGUGUGUGCUGGGUUCUAAGAAUUUGUUUUCUACAGUGGCCACAACCCGGUGGCAUCCACCGUUGGGAUAAUCGGUGUGAGUUCGGUGCAUGACGAACCCGUGGUGAAUUAUUAGUGGUCGCAUACCCCGCACAUAACGGAAGCGAGUGGAUUGGUGCUUGGUACACGGCGAGGUUACCCCGGGUGUACCUAUCGUCUCGUGGCUUCGGGCCACUAUAGGUACGUCUGGAGCGCGUUGGCCAUCGGAGUGUAAGCUUGGCCCCCACCGUGAAUCACAUCCGCUACACGUGAUUGUCCGUCGAGUGGGAGUGUCCAUUAAAGGGAAAGAAUCCCAACGCCAGCGUAACCGCCAGACUCACGUUCCGACGAUCUGCCGAUCGGAGUGUACCCACCGACUUCCCAGGGAACGGAUACGACCCGCGGCGCGGCGAGCAUUAUCGUUGUGACCGUGCAUGCUGCUCCACCACCCCUCAUCGAAGGAGCAAGAUAAACAACCACCCGUCUCCACCAUCUCCACCCCGCA